rnacentral:tRNA from 1 species
GCUCUUCUAGUAUAUUAAUUACAAUUGACUUCCAAUCUCUAAAUUCUGGCACGACCCCAGAGAAGAGCA